UGAUAAAGGAAAAUCAACAGAGGAAGUGGAGACAGAAUGAUGAUGGUGUGGAAAAUAAAAAUAUCACUCAAUUAAGACCAGUAAUUCGGCAUCUGUUAGGCAGUUGCUGAGGCUCACCUUGGAGGAAUGAGUCCUGAACUUACAAGAUAUGUCAGAGAAAAGCAGAAUUCAGGAGCUGCAGAAGACGUACCCAUUAUUCAUAACAUCAGAAUUUGUGAUCUACUCAACUCCAACAGAAAUGAACUUCAAUAGAAGAGCUGUAUGUAAGGUAGAGGAACAGGCAGAUUGAACAUUAGACUAUGUCAGUGCAAAGGGGGCAGUGAAGUUCAGUCGUUCUCUGCUAAAAACAGAUGAUUGACGACACUGGGCCGACUGAGCACAGGAGCAUAAAGGCCUAGCAGACAGGACAUUCUGGACAAUGACUCAGAAAAUAGGAGACAAAUUGGCAUUCCUUUUGUUCAGCAAAGGACAGUGUUGCUGAAGUGCUCCCCAGCUGACUGAGCUGAGGUCAUACUGUCAUGUAGCCAUACUGUUUGGUGGAUGAGGCAUAUCUAAGUAACCUAAAUGGAUCCCUGCUGUUCAACAGAAAUUAUUGCAAGACCUUAUCCAUGACAACAAUAAACAAGGCUGCGAGGUCAUACAAGUCAUUCAUAGAUGCUAUGCCUGAGGAAAAUAUAUUGUAGAACCAGAAAUUUUUUUGCUAUCUUCCCAGUAUGUGUCACAGAAAUAAACAUGUUGUGACAGGACUUUAGUGGUUCAAUAUUGAAAUGAAAAUGACGAGAAUAUUUAAAAAAUGGAGGAAAUCUUUUUACACUACUACACGCAGAGAAUAGAAAAAACGAAAAGGCUAACUUUUUAGCUCACCAGUGUCACAUAGUGCCCGUCAUCCGUCCAUCCGUCCAGUUUUAUUUCUGAGAGUGUAUACAGUUUUAUGAUGUGUGUGUGUGUUCUGUUGCAAGAAAGAAAAUGUUCAGCAUUUACUAUAGUUCAUGUGUGGCCGAGUUGUAAUGGUCCAUGACAUUGGAACCCUCGGGGUACCCUUUCCUUCAGAUAGAUGCAAAAAAUUCUUUCAUGUGAGGAAGACAAAAGUUUCAUGGUUCUACCCAGGUCGUCUUUAAGCACCCAUGUAAAUUUGAAAUGCCACUAUUUUGUUGUUUUGCAGGUUGGAACAUUUAACAUGUCAAAUCAAACGUACUUCAUACUUGUUAUAUAUACUUUAUGCAGUUGCAUUGUUUAUUUUGUCUAUUAUGAUUGCAGUAAGUAAACUUUAAACAUUA
rnacentral:lncRNA from 1 species